AACGAACGCUGGCGGCAUGCCUAACACAUGCAAGUCGAACGAGACCUUCGGGUCUAGUUGCGCACGGGUGCGUAACGCGUGGGAACCUGCCCUUAGGUUCGGAAUACCUCCCCGAAAGGGGUGCUAAUACCGGAUAAUGUCUUCGGACCCAAGAUUUAUCGCCUUUGGAUGGGCCCGCGUUGGAUUAGCUAGUUGGUAGGGUAAAAGCCUACCAAGGCGACGAUCCAUAGCUGGUCUGAGAGGAUGAUCAGCCACACUGAGACUGAGACACGGCCCAGACUCCUACGGGAGGCAGCAGUGGGGAAUAUUGGACAAUGGGCGGAAGCCUGAUCCAGCAAUGCCGCGUGAGUGAUGAAGGCCUUAGGGUUGUAAAGCUCUUUUACCCGGGAUGAUAAUGACAGUACCGGGAGAAUAAGCUCCGGCUAACUCCGUG
rnacentral:rRNA from 1 species